rnacentral:rRNA from 1 species
GACGAACGCUGGCGGCGUGCUCAACACAUGCAAGUCGAACGAUGAAGCCGGAGCUUGCUCUGGUGGAUUAGUGGCGAACGGGUGAGUAACACGUGAGUAACCUGCCCUUGACUCUGGGAUAAGCGUUGGAAACGACGUCUAAUACCGGAUACGAGCUAGGACCGCAUGGUCACUAGCUGGAAAGAACUUCGGUCAAGGAUGGACUCGCGGCCUAUCAGCUAGUUGGUGAGGUAACGGCUCACCAAGGCGACGACGGGUAGCCGGCCUGAGAGGGUGACCGGCCACACUGGGACUGAGACACGGCCCAGACGCCUACGGGAGGCAGCAGUGGGGAAUAUUGCACAAUGGGCGCAAGCCUGAUGCAGCAACGCCGCGUGAGGGACGACGGCCUUCGGGUUGUAAACCUCUUUUAGCAGGGAAGAAGCGCAAGUGACGGUACCUGCAGAAAAAGCACCGGCUAACUACGUGCCAGCAGCCGCCGUAAUAC